UAGGCAUCAUGUUCAAUCCAUGGCUACCUU
rnacentral:piRNA from 1 species